CCUACGGGUGGCAGCAGUGGGGGAUAUUGCACAAUGGGGGAAACCCUGAUGCAGCGACGCCGCGUGGGUGAAGAAGUAUUUCGGUAUGUAAAGCCCUAUCAGCAGGGAAGAAAGAAGACGGUACCUGACUAAGAAGCCCCGGCUAACUACGUGCCAGCAGCCGCGGUAAUACGUAGGGGGCGAGCGUUAUCCGGAUUCACUGGGUGUAAAGGGAGCGUAGACGGCCGUGCAAGCCAGGAGUGAAAGCCCGGGGCCCAACCCCGGGACUGCUCUUGGAACUGGGCGGCUGGAGUGCGGGAGGGGCAGGCGGAAUUCCUGGUGUAGCGGUGAAAUGCGUAGAUAUCAGGAGGAACACCGGCGGCGAAGGCGGCCUGCUGGACCGCGACUGACGUUGAGGCUCGAAAGCGUGGGGAGCGAACAGGAUUAGAUACCCGAGUAGUC
rnacentral:rRNA from 1 species